AAUGAACGCUGGCGGCAGGCUUAACACAUGCAAGUCGAACGCAUCCUUCGGGGUGAGUGGCAGACGGGUGAGUAACGCGUGGGAGCGUGCCCUUCAGUUCGGGAUAACCCAGGGAAACUUGGGCUAAUACCGGAUACGUGCGAGAGCAGAAAGAUUUAUCGCUGAAGGAUCGGCCCGCGUCUGAUUAGCUAGUUGGUGGGGUAAUGGCCCACCAAGGCGACGAUCAGUAGCUGGUCUGGGAGGAUGAUCAGCCACAUUGGGACUGAGACACGGCCCAAACUCCUACGGGAGGCAGCAGUGGGGAAUAUUGGACAAUGGGCGCAAGCCUGAUCCAGCCAUGCCGCGUGAGUGAUGAAGGCCUUAGGGUUGUAAAGCUCUUUCGUCCGGGACGAUAGUGACGGUACCGGAAGAAGAAGCCCCGGCUAACUUCGUGCCAGCAGCCGCAGUAA
rnacentral:rRNA from 1 species